GAUUCCUACGGGAGGCAGCAGUAGGGAAUAUUAGAAAUGGACGAAAGUCUGAUCUAGCAACACCGCGUGUGCGAAGAAGGCCUUCGGGUUGUAAAGCACUUUUUGGAAGGAUUAGGAAGGAAUGUACUUCCAGAAUAAGUCUCGGCUAACUACAUACCAGCAGCCGCGGUAAU
rnacentral:rRNA from 1 species